rnacentral:piRNA from 2 species
UUCCAGAAUUGUCAGGAAAUGGGACUUAC